rfam:Stegodyphus mimosarum contig111147, whole genome shotgun sequence.
GCCUUCGUGGUGUAGUGGUCAGCACGCUCGGCGCAUACUCCAGAGGUCCGUAGUUCGAUUCUCGGCGAGGGCA